rnacentral:rRNA from 1 species
CAGUAGCCACGGUAAAACGGAGGAUCCAAGCGUUAUCCGGAAUCAUUGGGUUUAAAGGGUCCGUAGGCGGUCUUGUAAGUCAGUGGUGAAAGCCCAUCGCUCAACGGUGGAACGGCCAUUGAUACUGCAGGACUUGAAUUAUUGGGAAGUAACUAGAAUAUGUAGUGUAGCGGUGAAAUGCUUAGAGAUUACAUGGAAUACCAAUUGCGAAGGCAGGUUACUACCAAUUGAUUGACGCUGAUGGACGAAAGCGUGGGUAGCGAACAGGAUUAGAUACCCGCGUAGUCCCUGUCUCUUAUAC